rnacentral:rRNA from 1 species
GAUGAACGCUAGCGGCAGGCCUAACACAUGCAAGUCGAGGGGCAGCACAGAAACAGCAAUGUUUUGGCGGCGACCGGCGGACGGGUGCGUAACGCGUAUGCAACCUACCUUUAACAGGGGGAUAACGGAGAGAAAUUUCCACUAAUACCCCAUAACAUCGAUCAAGGCAUCUUGAUUGGUUGAAAACUCCGGUGGUUAAAGAUGGGCAUGCGUUGUAUUAGGUAGUUGGUGAGGUAAUGGCUCACCAAGACUACGAUACAUAGGGGGACUGAGAGGUUAGCCCCCCACACUGGUACUGAGACACGGACCAGACUCCUACGGGAGGCAGCAGUGAGGAAUAUUGGUCAAUGGGGGCAACCCUGAACCAGCCAUGCCGCGUGCAGGAAGACGGCUCUAUGAGUUGUAAACUGCUUUUAAACAGGGAUAAAGCACAGUAUGUAUACUGUGUUGAAGGUACUGUAAGAAUAAGGAUCGGCUAACUCCGUGCCAGCCGCCGCGGUAA